CCGGAUUCCCCCAAGAUUGCGUUCUUUCUCCUCUGCUCUUCUCCCUGUACACCAACAUCUGCACCUCCAGUCACCAGUCCGUCAGGCUCCUGAAGUUCGUGGAUGACACCUCCCUCAUUGGGCUCAUCUCUGAUGGAGAUGAGUCUGCCUACAGACAGGGGUGGACUGGCCAUCUGGCAUACCGGGCAUCGUCCCGGUGGGCCGUUGACCCAAUGUGGUCCGGACCGGUCCGCUAUUUUUUUUGUUUUCUUUCUCUCUCUAAAUUCCCUCCAGUUGGGCCAGUUGGCUACAGAGGGCUAGCAGUGUGUUGCCAGCAUCGACACAUAUUAUUGGUCUAUGUUUGUCAUUGUCAAUCAAUCAGUGCUGUCAAUCACAACACAAACCAGGGUGGGCGGGACCUCAUGGCAUGGGAGUGGCGGGAAGGGCUGCUGCUGAGCUGAAGAUGGAUAACCGUAAGAAACGCCCGGGUGGCGCUGAAACACUGCGACUUAAAAAGCUGAAGUCUCUGGAGGUGGAAGCUGCUAAAUGUUGGACAUUGACAGACCUAUUUGGUGCCGGGGUCACCACCCCAGCAGGUGCUGCUGCGCCGGGAGACGAGCGAGUGGAGGCAGACAUGGUUGAACACUUGACAUGUGAGAGCCUGAGGAGUUGUUCCCCCUCCGUCCAUUUUCAAGGACUUGCUCUCUCUCUGCCUCCACUUCACCACUGUUUGGCUACUGAGACGUCUCUGAUUGGUUGAGUAUGUCAUGUGUCUUAUAAUGUUAUAUGAAUUCAUACUUGAUUUGUGAUGAUGACUUAAUAAUGUUUCCAUGUCUCUUUUAGGUUGACCACCCUAUAUAUGAGAGCCUAAGGAGUUGUUUUCCCUCUGUCCCCUUUUGAGGACCUGCUUUGUCUCCUCCAUCAUUCACUGGGUUAUUUCAUGUGGUGAGAGGAAUGCAGAGAGAGCUUCGUCUU
rnacentral:lncRNA from 15 species